UACGUAGGGUGCGAGCGUUGUCCGGAAUUACUGGGCGUAAAGAGCUCGUAGGUGGUUUGUCGCGUUGUUCGUGAAAACCGGGGGCUUAACCCUCGGCGUGCGGGCGAUACGGGCAGACUAGAGUACUGCAGGGGAGACUGGAAUUCCUGGUGUAGCGGUGGAAUGCGCAGAUAUCAGGAGGAACACCGGUGGCGAAGGCGGCAUCCUGGACCGGCAUUGACGCUGAGGAGCGAAAGCCAGGGGAGCAAACGGG
rnacentral:rRNA from 1 species